UGGUGCUAAGACAUUUCUUACGAAUUCGAUAUUUUUAGUACCUAUAAAUCAUCCAACACAAGCAACAUUUCAUCUAUCAUACAACAUCCUAUCAAUAUUUAACCAUAUCAAUAUUUUCAAUGCAAUACAAGCAACAACACAACACAAGUAAUAUUUCAUUUAUCAUACAAUACCCUAGAAAUCAAUGAAGUUUACAACACAAGAAUUGCACUAACCUUAACUCCAAGCAAAAAGUUGAAGGGAUUGGACCAAAAAUCUCUGAGCGAAUACACAAAUUAGUCUUCUAAUAAUCAACUACUGUGCAAUGAGAGAGAGAGAGAGAGAGAGAGAGAGAGUG
rnacentral:lncRNA from 1 species